rnacentral:lncRNA from 1 species
GCGAGUACCAGUAGAGUGGGAUCAGUCUGGAUUUUUCAGCCAUCUUUUAGACUGUUCCUUCGUGUUACACGAGCCAGAGGGAGCCUGGAACUACACACAACUUGUUGUCAAAGAAACUUGCACCAUCACAAGGCGUCAGCUCUGCUCUCCGGAGACCAAAUCUCCAGACAAUCAACUCGUGUGUGCUGUUAAUGCUUUGUUUCUCUCACUUCUCCCGUGUAUAUGAAACUGUCAAGCUGAAUUACACUUUAUAAGGUGAUAGGGAAAAGAUCUAACAUUUCUUUUUCCCUUUUACAAAUUUUUACAGUGUGUGGAAGCUAAUUUUUGCAGCCUAAAAGCCAACCAAACAAAACAGUCCCGCUGCUUCAGACCUGACAUCUUUCAGGACAGGCACACCUGCUGAGCACCAGAGAACCCCUUCCAGGCCCAAACUGUGGGCAGGUGCACUGGUGGAAUGGUCCCCCCUGGAUGCAGCAAAGGAAAACCCUGCUUCAUGCUCCCAUGAGGAUCUGGAAGUUCUUGUAGUUAAUAAACCUCCUCUCUCCAGUUUCAUUGACCUGCAUGGACUUGCCAAGGUGGAAGGAGUUUUGUUUGCAGGCUUUUAGAAUAACAGGUGACAGCCCAGUGCUAAGGGUCCAGCACAGGCAUUCCUCCUCAGACAGGUG